UAAACCCUCAAGAUUGUUCUGGAAACAUCUUGUUAUUUCCAAAGGGAUCCACAAGAAUUCAAAAAAUAUGGAUUCCUUCACCGUUCUUCAUUCUUUCAAGUUUCUCGCCAUUUUGUUGCAAUUCCAGGCCGAGGAUUUUUCGGAAAUAAUCUCUCUACCCCAUGAGACUAUGGUGCACCAUUCUUGAUUCGAAGUGUAAUGUGAAAGUAAGCAUAAACUAAGUUCUGUGUUCUAUUUUUUCAACAGGAAUGGAGGUAAUCGAGAUGAAAGAGAUAAGAGUAUGGUGAUGUGAAAAUAUUGGAGAAUGGCUAGAAAAAUAUACUUAGAAAAGCAUGAAAAGGACGACCAAGGGAUUUUGGGGAAAUUUUCUUGGAGCUCAAGGAAAGAACCAUGAAGCUACAUAACAUAAUCAAAGAGGCCCUAAAUCCACUGUACCUUAACAACGUUCACAUACAAGCCGAUCAAUGGCUACAGGAUUUUCAACACACUAUUGAUGCUUGACAGUAUUUGAAAAGAGGAGAGUGCAAGUACGAUAGUAAGGCCUUAAAACGUCUUCACGGUGAGACACUAUUGAAUUUUGAUUGUAUCUCUUUAUGGGAAUGGAAACAACACAGGUUAUAUAAGAAAGUUAACGGGAAGUAAGCUAGCUGAUAAACAGAAGAAGUUUCCUUUCUCUCUUUCAGAAGAGGAGAAGACUGAUCAUGCAGUUUUAACUAGAGUGAAUAGUGUGUACAUCCAAUCUUGACAAGGUGAAUAAUGAGUAUUAUUUUGAGCCCGCUUCUUUGGAAGAGAUAGUCUGGUAAGGACUUUGGUUCCUUUAUUUCCAGUUGGGGUCUUUACCAAGAUACAAUUACCAAUACACUAAAUUUUAUGUCCCUUAUGCAAGCAAAUUGCGACAUCCCUAUGUUCAUGGUCCUGUAGGGACAACAAAGGAUACAAUUUCAAAAUGGAUAAGGCUACGUAUAAUAUUUGUCAUGAAGUGUGGAAAUUUUUUAAAAUUAGGCAGAGACUAUUGAUCUAUGUCUAAAAUGUUUGAUUAUGGAAUUGUCUUAUGCACUUAAUAUAUUAUAAUAGAAGUAACUAAUUUUGCCUCAAUCUCGUACAUAGACUAUUGGAUAUUGUCUGUUUAAACUUUAGUAUAUGUUAGUGUUGAUUUUAUCUGUCUUGAUGUAAGAAUAAAUCAAUAUUAUGUAAAGGUAGUAUAUGAGCUUAUCCUUUUUGCA